GCGGAGGGGCUGCGCUACCCGGUCUUGGGUUUUUCAUCGGGGAGUGGGAGUGGACUGAAGGCUUGGCCGCUCCGCCUCACUGAGCCGGCUCAGCCAGCGCAGCUGUUCCUGGAACGCCAGUCCCUUAGGAUGGGAGAGAGCGGAGAAGGCAAAGAGGAACAGACUGGGAAAGAGACUGGAUAGAUUCUAAUAUGGUGAAAACAUCAGAAGCAGUUCAGGGACUAGGAAGUGGGAACUCUAGAGAUGACAGACAUUCUGCUGGGUGGUUUUUAAAGUUUCUUCCAGAGUCAUCUGCCUCAUUAACAACAAUUUUUGUGGAAGAAGUCUGUCUUUGAUUUUAUGAACUCACGUGACUCCUUGGUCUGUUACGAAUGCACAAUGCUCCAGUCCUUCAAUAAGCCCAUUACAUACUUUCACCAUGUCAUCUAUAGGUGCUUUUUCUCCAGUGUAAACAUCAUCUUCGUCAUCACUCUUACAAUGCUCACCUUGAUUCAGAACCAUUUUGACCAUUCACAUCAGUCAAUGAAUGAACAACUGAAGUGUCAUCAUGGACAGUAAAAACUUCUUCCAUAUCCUCUUCUUUCAGCCUACUGACAGACUCGGAAGGUGUAUAUUUCACAUAUGGCAGGAGGUCAGACUUUUUUUUCAACUUGACAUACAGAAUCCUUCAAAGUCACUACCUUGUUCUUCAUCAUCACUGAGCAUACCUGCAGGCCAGAUAUUGCACCACGCAUGCACAACUGUGUCUCUAGUUAUUGUGUUCCAAGUGUUGGAACAGUAUAUAUGGCAUCUUUCACGCCAAACUCUUUUGAAAACUUUCCACACCCAUGCCCCUGUUCCCUGCUGCUAGCCUGCUGUUCAAGAAAGUGUUUUUAUAUUUACUCUUCUUCUGUAUAUGGUGUGAAAGGAAAAUAAAUCUCAGGACCCCCAAAUCACUAAGCCAAAUGAAAAAGUCAAGGUGGGAAUUGCAUCAGACAAUUUGCCUCACAUUUUAUUCCUAAAGAAGAUAGCUACAAAGAUAAAGAGAGAGAGAAAGAAAAAGAAAGAGAAAGAAAGAAAGAAAGGAAAGAAAGAAAGGCAAGCAAGCAAGCUACAUACCUUCCUCACAAUUUGCCCACUUGGAAAUUCCUUGUGGGCUCAAGAUCUUUACCCUAAAAUGGUUCUGUUGAAUUUUAUCCUGACAGUGUAAAUUGAUAGCUUAUCUAAACAGUUGCAGGACAAAGGACAAAACCGAAAGUCAUCCCUCUGCUCACUUAAGACAAAUGCACAUCUGAAUGCUUCACCUGAUGUAAAAGUGUGAUUCACUGAGCUACAUGAAAGCAUGAGUGACUAUUAUUCCUCUACCCACCACCCCCCCAACCCCCCCUCCCUGCCAACAUGUAAAUUGUGUAUUCAGUGAAAGGCUGAUCAAACACAAAAAAGAAUGAAACAAUUUGUCUCUUAUCUACCCACAACUUUAAAAGAUGUAUUCCUUUUUCCCCAAUAUCCACCCUUUCCCUUUAAAUAUUGAAGCCCUCAAAAUAAUCUUUGGAGAAAGGCACAGACAUGUUUGCUUGGUGUACAUAUUUAACCUUGGCAAAAUAAACAUUCUAAAUUCAUUGAGACCUGUCUCAGAUACUUUUGUUUACAAAGGAUACCCUG
rnacentral:lncRNA from 10 species